CUGAGUAACUCCUGUCUAGAAAAAAGUACUCUCAAAACAUGUAUUAUAUCUGAUGUUCUUCCUGGUAGUAUGUAUUUACACAUGGAAAUAGUUGGGGAAAUUACCUGUGUGAAAACAGGAGCAUUGAUUUCUCAUAGGAAUCUUAACACUUCAUGUGGACAAAGCAUUCCCCCAUGACUGCUCCCAUUAUAGGACAGAAGUUUGGUUUUAUUGCCUUUAUAUGGGAAAUGUGUAAUUAUUUAUUUUCUUUUAUGGGAAAGAGCAGAGUGUGAUAACCUGUAUGUUCAAAAAUCAUGAACUGUGUUUCAAGAAAUACAGAAAUUGGAGAAAGAUACUAGAGUCUUUGACUUUUGGAAGGUGAAGAAUUUGAGUUCGCCUUUUUAAGUUUCUCUAAUGAGUAGGAGAAAGUUUUUAAAAAGACAUUUUUAACAUAAUGUGGUUUCAAGAGAUUAAGUGAACAAGAAAUGUUAAGUAUCACACUGCUGAAAAUGUACUCUUUGAAAUCCUUGUAUAUACUGUAUUAGGCGUGAAAUCCUUUAAAUUACAACCUAACCAUGUGUGGGGACCAGUAGGGAUACUGAAUAAAUAUUAAUAAUCUAUAUCCAGGAUAAAAUAUGGAGAACAUGACAUAUUUAUGAAGUCUCAGUAUGUUGUGCAUGGUUUGUGAGGAUCUAACAUACCAUUGAACUCCACAGUAAUACUCCCCUUUGAUUUAACUAAAUUUACAUAAAAUGUUUUAAAUUUAACCAAGUAUUUAUUUUCCAGGUGACCCUGUUGUUAUGCUUUUUCUCCUUGUACCUUUGUUUUACAGAGCUGUAAGACAGUUUGCUAAUGGAAUUAAGUCAGCAGGCCUUGAUAAAUUUGUUUCUAUCACUUAACACAACUGACAUUAUUUCAAAACUAUGAUAUACUCAACAUGGAUAUUAUAGCUUUUGUAUAGAUUUGUCAUUUGAAUAAACUCACUGAAAAAAUCUAUUUUCAGUACCUACCCCUUUAUGUUAAAAGUUAUUUUUAAAGUUCAAUAUAUUUUCCUAAACAAAAGAUCUCUGGCUGUUUGAGUAGUUUGCCUUACUAUUUUAGAAGAAAGAGGCAGUUAAUUUAAUACUACUGAUUCUUAUCUUUUCCAAAUCCUCUUUUAUUAGACACUUUGCUUUUCUCUUAACUUUUGUUCCCCAUUCUUGUCUUCGGCUUUUUGGUUCAUUGAGGUUCCACAGCUUUAUCUUGGAGUGAGGUAAUAUAAGCUGAUGGCACAAGAAAUAGUUUCCUUGCAAGCACCAUAUCUGUUGUCAGCUAAGUGUAGGGCAGGAACCAUUCAAUGUUAAUACAUUUUCAUUCCAUGAACAACUCUUCAAACAACAACAUAACAGAAAAGGAGUUAGUUUUCUGAAGAUACUUAUGGCCUAUAUACUUUUAGAAUUACAAAAGACUGUACACAAAUAUGUUAAAGUAGUUUUUUCUUUUCUAGGCAAGAGUCUAGAAAUGUGGUCAGUUUCUUACCAGGUAAAUACAAAGACAGGCUCAUUCUCUCAAAGAACUUGUUAGAAAAUUUUCUUGUAUGUAUCCAAAAAUUAACAAUCAUGCUGCAUUAAUGGACUGUGUGAAAGAGGUACAUUUGUUUGCAGGAGAUGAGAGAAUUUUAGUUCUUAAUUAUUUGAAAUGAAUGUGGUCUCCUUGCCUUCUGAUUGUUUGUGGGCUUAAGACGUUUAAAGACAAAGUGCUAAUUUUUGUAUCUUUCUAAAAAACUGUUAAACUUGACAACAAUAUUUGUUUUUAUGUCCAUACCUUGAAUUAGACCUAUGCAUUACACACGUGCACAAAUUGCAAGUAUUCAUAAUGUGGAAGCUCAGCGUAGACCAAGUCUGCUCAGAUGUAACAAACCGCAAGAUCAGGAGUCGGAUUUUGUGGGACAGGGAAUCUUUUCACUUCUGUAUAGUAAUGGUUGGUAGACAAGAUAUUUUUUCCUAUGUUAGGUGGAGUGAUUGUAGAGAUUUUUUUUUUUUAAUUUUUACUUCUCACUUGCUGCACAAAGAAGAGGAAAAAGGGGCAAUCAAAAGGUUCACACUACUAAAAAGUAUUUUUUUCCAAUAUGGUUGGGAACUUACAGGGUGUUUGAGGGGGAAAGAUUGACGUAGCUUAAGGUCCCACUUUUGCAAUCCAAGCAGACAGCUGGUCUAGUUCCAAGGAAUUUCACAAAAUAUCUGCAGAACUAUAGGGAUUCACUUGGCUAAUCUGAAUUAAAAUCAGAUCUGUGUUUUACAUGAUAGUUAUAUUUGUGCAAAUGUGUUUGGAAUGAUAACACUAUGGCUUGUUUUAAUUAAAAAAAAAAAAAAAGUGACCUCGGUUGUGUUUUGCUUGUAUCUGCAUUUUCUCAGUAUGCAUUGGGGAUUUUUAUGCUGCUUGUUAGUCUACAGAUCAAACCAGUGAUUUGAGACUAAUUCUCUCUGGAAAGUGCUGAAAGAAAUAAUUGUGUCUGGAGAUGCAGUUCAGUGUUUUGUGUGGAUAUAUGCACACUGCUGCCCAGCAGUGAUGGGUGCCCAUUGCUGAGGGGUGGACAGGAUAGGAACUCAGAGGCAGCAUUUAUUUAUAGUUCUCAUCUGUGCCCAUUCCCAUUUCUGCUGCUUUGCUGACCUUGUUUGAUGUACAAGCACUACAGGGCAGGACCUUGCUUUUCUGUUUUUAUAAUACUUUUUUAUAAUGCUUGUCUCAAUGGAAACAGGAUCUCAAAAUGCCAGUCUUGAUGAUGAGUUCUGCCUAAUGGUCUUAACUUUCAUAUCUGAUUAAAUUGUCAAUCCUGGGCAUUUACAUGGCACCAACGAUAAAUGUGUUUCUUAAUCUCUGAAUCCUGAAGAGUAGAAUUCUUUACAGGGGACUUCAUUUUUAUUCUUCUUAUCCCUGGGUUUGGGGGAAUGUGACUAUACCUUAAAUCAAAACUCCUUUACAAGCAGGACUCAACCUUAGUGGGGUCUGACAGUAUUUUCCCCUUCUUUUCAUUUUUUCCACUUUGUUGUUAACGUAGGUAUCUUAAGACUGCAAUCAGAUAUACUGUUCUGCCUCCAGUGCAGCCAAAGGGUGAGGUAGCCAUUCUUAGGCUGGCCCCACUUACUCUUCCUCCUAUUCUCAGUGUUGCUGUUUUCUUAGAUCUGCUGAAAAACUUAAAUCUGCUGUUACUUAAAUCUGUUCUCCCAAAAAUGAUCCGCCCAUGUCUUCAUUUUAUCCAUAGGCCUUAAAGUCCAUCAGAGAUCACGUCUGUAGAGAGCACCGUCCUAUUUAACAAUAUCUGACAAGAUUAAGGAAACAGAGCAAUUUGUUUUAAAAUGUGCAGACUUGGAGCUAUGUGUAUUCAGAAAGGAGCUGGAGCUAAUGGAAUGCAGUACUCUUUCUUGGGGCUGAAGAAGCUUCUCCAACUUGGCAUCUUUUAUUCCCUGGCCAUAUGCCUACUUUGGACAGAUUAAAAGCUUCACCCUGAAGUAGAAGGAUAAAGAUUUCACCCUUUGUAGAGUAAGUACACUCUUUGUAGACUAAGUAUACACAGUAUGGAAUCUGAGUGUAUUAAUUAUCUAAAAGCUGCAUAUAAAAUAAAUCUAGUACCAAAGGCAUAUUUUGAUGGACCAAUGUUGAAAUUUUGCAUCUAAAAAUAGCCAGGGUUUAUACUAAUAUGGAUUUUUUUUCCUCUGGCUGUGAACACAAAGAUACUAAUUUAUACCAGAUUACUUAUAACACAGGAGUGACUGCUAUUGCCAGGGAUUUAGUUUAGCAGCUCUUGUUUUAUUGCUCAAAUGCUACAUGGCCAGUUUGUGCUUGCUAGCUGGCAGCCUGACUUAUGAACCUUUGGCCUGUCAACAACUCACUGAAAAAAGUAUAUUGCUGUGUGGGCAGAAAAGCUAUGAGCAGAAGUGCAUGCACUUUAUUAUAUGGUCUUUUCCCCUCUGACACUUGAAGUAACUAAAAGGAGAAAACUUUCAUUAAUGUAAGGGACACUUUGCUACAAAAUAAAGAAAAUGAGAAGGAAAUUUGUUUAUGUUAGGUUUAUUGAACAGUAACUUCAUUUAUCCAAUUUUGGAUUUUUCACAAUACUUAAUCCAAUUAUUGCUAGCAUGUAGGAUAAUUCUAAUUUAGUGACAUUGUACAAUUAUUCAAAGUAGUGGAAAAAGUCAAGUCUGCAAACAUUCAGACUGUGCUAGAAUUCAUAUCUUAACAUAGCUGAACAGAUAACUUCUCUAAAUAAAACACAUUAUGUAUUUAAAAUGUCUCUCUUUUAUUAAUAAUAAAUUAAUAAAAACUCAAUGGCAUCACUGGUCAACAAAACACACUGAGGAUAGUGUGCAGGUUGUCUACAUAUCAAUCAGAAAGGUAAUAACACUGCUACCUUGAUGAAAAUUGGAGAAAUACUAGUGAACUUAUAUACAUAUAUCACUUUAGACAUAUGAAGAACACCAAGCAGAAGAAAUGUACUUCCAUGUUUCCCCAAUUUUUUAUAUUAAAUAAGGCGAUAAUAUAAAGCAUAGCAUCACAGCAACAUAAUUAAAUCUCUAGGUGCUGAGUCCUGACAUAAUGUCAUGCUCAAAGAGGAAUGUGCAAAAAUAAACACCUGAAUUUACACUUUGAUUCUUUGUUCCGUAAAAUAAAAACUCUAGAUUCCACUGGUAGGAAAAACAGAAGUAAAGUUUCUGGGAGAAUCCAAAUCAAGAAAGCUGUGCUCUCAGCCUGUGGCACUAUUUGGAAUAUCUUGAGCAUCUGCUAAAUGCAGUUUUUGUCUGGAGCAAACCAUUAAGGAAUAAAACUUGCACAUAUCGGUAAAGGACAAACAAGAUAGCAAUGUUAUAGAAAACUAUGCGCUACGCUUAUUACUGUGUUUAUCUGGGCUGGUAUAUACCUGUUGCAGGACUAAGUCUCCUGCUAGUUCUUAACUAGUAAACCAAUCUUCCUCAGUGAGAGUUAAGCACUACGUACCUCCAGAGUAAACCAGCAAUCCAAGGAGGAUGCCAGAGGAUCUGUACUAUUAUUAUUAUGUGAUAUCAUUAUCACAUUCCACUUGCAUUCUCUGAGAUCUAGCCUUAAAUAGCUUUUCACAGAUACAGAGGAUGUAUAUACUAGUGCAGUAUCCUAUGUCCCAAGGUUGAGUCUCACCCACUGGACUGUCCUUCCUCAGUGAGUAGGAAUUGUGUAAAAUCAGAAAUAGCUAGGCUAUAGCACAGACUGAGUGUAUCACCCGUCACCUGUAUUCAUAGCUCAUCAAAAGCACAAUACAUAAGAUAAAUACCAUAUUUAGCUUUGUCUUCUAGAUGGGCUAAGAGCACACUUGUUCCCAAACAAAGCUCAGUUGAAAUAAUUGACUCAAUCAUAGUCUGACCCUAGAAAUAAAAAAUGAGGUUACCACAGCAUUCACAGUAAAGCCAGUAAUAAACAGCUACAUAUAUUUUUAGAAAAACUAAAUGGUAAUAGGAAUCAUUUAUCAGAGGGACAGAAUGCUUCUGAAUACUACAGAAGGAAUAUUGCCAUGUAUGUUUGCUUCAGAGUUUCUCAGCAAAAUACACGUAAGGAAAAUGUGCUUCUGAAGGGCUUUGCCAUCCACUGUCAACAUGUUGUCUAAAACGUUGUACCAGCUAAAUAAAUCGCCAUAUGAAAACCAGCCUGUAAUUAAAAGUAUUAAGAUCCAGCCAUUUAUAUGUUGAAAAAACUUAAAGUCCAUGAUAUAUUACAGUACUAAUUAAAAAGAAGGGGUAUUAUUGAAGAGAUUUCACUUCUAUGAAGACACAGUAAUUGGGGAAAUAUACUAUAAUUCAAUUAUAGGUAAUAAAUAUAAUGUGAAAUAAACAUUUAAGAAAAAGGAUACAUAGAUGAAUUCAGUUCUUCCAGCUGCAAUAUAAAUGUAGAAAGUAUCAGAAAUGGUACUUCAGUUAGUCAAAUAAAUGCAACAAUUGUGCUAAUAUGCUGACAUAAUAUAUUAAAAGGUGAAAUAAAAAAUAAUGAUUAUUGGUUUAAGUGGAAAUGUUCAUUUUCAUUACAAAAAGCAAAGCAAACUUGCACUGAAUUCUACACCAACAGAGCUAAGUACCACAUUAAAUUUAAAUCUAGGUAUCUAAGGAAAUUUAAAGAAAUUUUAACAAUUUUGUUGUUUACAGAAAUAAUACACUAAUGAAAUGAGAAACAAAGUCUAGAAUAUGUAGACCUAAAUUCCUUGUUACGUGUGGUCUCCCCUACAUGUGGAGCUGAUAAGCCUACAUCCUCACACAGUUUAUUGUUACACUGCCCUAAUCACCAAAACAAGAAGCAACCUAUAAAGAAAGAAAACACAAGGUGCUGUAUUUUCUCAAAACCAAUAUGGAGCAACUAAGGCUUAUGUCUUGGUUCAUUACAAAGCUUUGUUUUCCUCAACUGUGAAUUUCAUAGAAUGUAGGCUGAAUCAUUACCCAUCCAAUACAGUGUUUUACUCCUGAGCCUAGUUCUGUGGACAAAGUUCAAUGUUUUCUGCCUUUCCUAUACUUACAUCUGAUAGCAACCUAUCCAAAUUGGAGUCACUGGCUAGUUUUCUUUUAUCUUCAGGGAGUUCUUCCAGCUCCCCGUAGAGCUCCAAGUUGAGACGAGCAAGCUUUUCCUGCAUACUCCGCACAUGCUCCAUCUGCUCUAUGGAACAUUCAUUUCCUACAAGGCACAAACAAACAAAACAAAAGCUUUUGAGAAAGAAACCUGACGGAGCAAAUGAAAGUGUGAAGUCAUAGCUCAAUGUGACAAAAAAGCAUCUUACAACUCAAACUGACAUCAAAGACCAAUUUAAACAUUGGAUUUACUUUCCACAUGAUUUCAUCCUUUUUCAUAACUGAAGUUUCUGUCCUCCCAUCUGAUACUAUAUUGUGCUGAAUUUAUGAUAACCAUCAAUUGUACUACACUGAUUUUUAGAGUAUAGAGUUGCUGGCUAUGGUCUGAUUUUGUCUUCUAUUAGAAAAGUCCUGUAUUUUUAAAUGUAAAUGUGAUCAUAAUAAAUCUUCUUUCUACUUUU